GGGACAACGUUUCGAAAGGAACGCUAAUACCGCAUACGUCCUACGGGAGAAAGCAGGGGACCUUCGGGCCUUGCGCUAUCAGAUGAGCCUAGGUCGGAUUAGCUAGUUGGUGAGGUAAUGGCUCACCAAGGCGACGAUCCGUAACUGGUCUGAGAGGAUGAUCAGUCACACUGGAACUGAGACACGGUCCAGACUCCUACGGGAGGCAGCAGUGGGGAAUAUUGGACAAUGGGCGAAAGCCUGAUCCAGCCAUGCCGCGUGUGUGAAGAAGGUCUUCGGAUUGUAAAGCACUUUAAGUUGGGAGGAAGGGCAGUAACCUAAUACGUUGCUGUCUUGACGUUACCGACAGAAUAAGCACCGGCUAACUCUGUGCCAGCAGCCGCGGUAAUACAGAGGGUGCAAGCGUUAAUCGGAAUUACUGGGCGUAAAGCGCGCGUAGGUGGUUUGUUAAGUUGGAUGUGAAAGCCCCGGGCUCAACCUGGGAACUGCAUUCAAAACUGACAAGCUAGAGUAUGGUAGAGGGUGGUGGAAUUUCCUGUGUAGCGGUGAAAUGCGUAGAUAUAGGAAGGAA
rnacentral:rRNA from 1 species